GCGCCCAUAGCUCAGUGGAUAGAGUGUCUCCUUGCGGAGGAGGAAGUCGUAGGUUCGAAUCCUACUGGGCGCA
rnacentral:tRNA from 1 species